rnacentral:rRNA from 1 species
CUAAUAUACCGGUUCUCGUUAGAUCACCGAAGUCAAGCAUCAUUGGGCGCGGUCAGUACUUGGGUGAGUGGCCACCUGGGAACACCGCGUGCCGUU